rnacentral:rRNA from 1 species
AACGCUGGCCUCUUUCCUAAUACAUGCAAGUCGAGCGAACCGAUAAGGAGCUUGCUCCUUUGCCGUUAGCGGCGGACGGGUGGGUAACACGUGGGUAACCUACCUAUAAGACUGGGAUAACAUCGGGAAACCGGAGCUAAUACCGGAUAACAUUUGGAACCGCAUGGUUCUAAAGUGAAAGAUGGGUUUUCUAUCACUUAUAUAUGGACCCGCGCCGUAUUAGCUAGUUGGUAAGGUAACGGCUUACCAAGGCGACGAUACGUAGCCGACCUGAGAGGGUGAUCGGCCACACUGGAACUGAGACACGGUCCAGACUCCUACGGGAGGCAGCAGUAGGAAAUCUUCCGCAAUGGGCGAAAGCCUGCCGGAGCAACGCCGCGUGAGUGAUGAAGGGUUUCGGCUCGUAAAACUCUGUUAUUAGGGAAGAACAAACGGGUAAGUAACUGUGCACGUCUUGACGGUACCUAAUCAGAAAGCCACGGCUAACUACGUG